GACGAACGCUGGCGGCGUGCUUAACACAUGCAAGUCGAACGGAAAGGCCCCUUCGGGGGUACUCGAGUGGCGAACAGGUGAGUAACACGUGAGUAACCUGCCCUUGACUUCGGGAUAACUUCAGGAAACUGGGGCUAAUACCGGAUAGGAAUCCUUGCUGCAUGGUGGGGGUUGGAAAGCUUCGGCGGUUUUGGAUGGACUCGCGGCUUAUCAGCUUGUUGGUGGGGUAGUGGCUUACCAAGGCUUUGACGGGUAGCCGGCCUGAGAGGGCGACCGGCUACAUUGGGACUGAGAUACGGCCCAGACUCCUACGGGAGGCAGCAGUGGGGAAUAUUGCACAAUGGGCGGAAGCCUGAUGCAGCAACGCCGCGUGCGGGAUGACGGCCUUCGGGUUGUAAACCGCUUUCAGCAGGGGCGAAGCUUGUGGUGACGGUACCUGCAGAAGAAGCACCGGCUAACUACGUG
rnacentral:rRNA from 1 species